rnacentral:rRNA from 1 species
AGAGUUUGGAUCCUCGGGCUCAGGACUGUAACGCUGCGGCGUGCUUAACACAUGCAAGUCGACGGAAAGGCCCAGACUUGCUUGGGUACUCGAGUGGCGAACGGGUGAGUAACACGUGGGUGAUCUGCCCUGCACUUCGGAUAAGCCUGGGAAACUGGUCGUAAUACCGGAUUAGACGAUGGUUUGGAUGCCAUUGUGGAAAGUUUUUUCGGUGUGGGAUGAGCUCGCGGCCUAUCAGCUGGUUGUGGGGUAAUGGCCUACCAAGGCGUCGACGGGUAGCCGGCCUGAGAGGGUGUACGGCCACAUUGGGACUGAGAUACGGCCCAGACUCCUACGGGAGGCAGCAGUGGGGAAUAUUGCACAAUGGGCGCAAGCCUGAUGCAGCGACGCCGCGUGGGGGAUGACGGCCUUCGGGUUGUAAACUCCUUUCGCUAGGAACGAAGCGUUUUUGUGACGGUACCUGGAGAAGAAGCACCGGCUAACUACGUG